AACGUUACCAAACUGUUGCCUCGGCGGGAUCUCUGCCCCGGGUGCGUCGCAGCCCCGGACCAAGGCGCCCGCCGGAGGACCAACCAAAACUCUUAUUGUAUACCCCCUCGCGGGUUUUUUACUAUCUGAGCCAUCUCGGCGCCCCUCGUGGGCGUUUCGAAAAUGAAUCAAAACUUUCAACAACGGAUCUCUUGGUUCUGGCAUCGAUGAAGAACGCAGCGAAAUGCGAUAAGUAAUGUGAAUUGCAGAAUUCAGUGAAUCAUCGAAUCUUUGAACGCACAUUGCGCCCGCCAGUAUUCUGGCGGGCAUGCCUGUCCGAGCGUCAUUUCAACCCUCGAACCCCUCCGGGGGGUCGGCGUUGGGGAUCGGCCCUUUACGGGGCCGGCCCCGAAAUACAGUGGCGGUCUCGCCGCAGCCUCUCCUGCGCAGUAGUUUGCACACUCGCAUCGGGAGCGCGGCGCGUCCACAGCCGUUAAACACCCCAAACUUCUGAAAUGUUGACCUCGGAUCAGGUAGGAAUACCCGCUGAACUUA
rnacentral:rRNA from 1 species